AAGGAAAUGUUCCAGUUUGGCUCUUAAUACUGGAGGGAAAAGUAACUGUGAUUUUUAGUUUUUUUCCUGAGACCCUUUUCAUCAGUUUAAAGAGGGUACCUCCAAAACAAUGAGUGUAUUUGCCUUCCACAGGAUAACAGGUGUGGCCGCGGCCCCAACAUGGCGCCCGGGACUGCUGCCAAGUCUGACUUCCUCAUAUCCUUCAAGAUAGUCACGUACCUUGAGCUGCAUUGCGCAGAUGCACCACGACGUAAGAUCAGAUGAUGUGACAAAUGCAGUCCUGAGCCAAUGAACUGUGCCUACGUGGACUGGGGUGAGGGGGGGGGGGUGGACUGGAGGGGAUAAAGGGGGAUGGCGGAGAGAGGUCGGGGAUUCUUUUUCUACACAUUUGUGAAGUUCCUGAAUAAACUGCCUUGAGAAGGACA